rnacentral:sRNA from 1 species
AGCAGCCGCGGUAAUUCCAGCUCCAAUAGCGUAUAUUAAAGUUGUUGCAGUUAAAAAGCUCGUAGUUGAAUUUCGGGAUUAAUUUACUGGUCGUGCUAUUGUACGUACUGGUUUUAUUGAUUCCUCUCUUCUGACGAACUAUGAUGCCAUUAAUUUGGUGUCUUAGGGAAUCAGGACUGUUACUUUAGAAAAAUUAGAGUUGUUUAAAGCAGGCUCACGCUUGAAUACAUUAGCAUGGAAAGACGGAAUAGGACGUUUGAUUCUAUUUUGUUGGUUUCUAGGAUCGACGUAAUGAUUAAUAGGGAUAGUUGGGGGCAUUAGUAUUCAAUUGUCAGAGGUGAAAUUCUUGGAUUUAUUGAAGACUAACUACUGCGAAAGCAUUUGCCAAGGAUGUUUUCAUUAAUCAAGAACGAAAGUUAGGGGAUCGAAGACGAUCAGAUACCGUCGUAGUCUUAACCAUAAACUAUGCCGACUAGGGAUCGGAUGAUGUUA